rnacentral:lncRNA from 1 species
UUCAGAGAUUAGCUUCCCAGGCUAGAUGGUGUUUUUUUUAUUAGUAGCUUAAUUAACAAGUCUUCACUCAAGCUUCCAAGUACAACAUCUAAGUGAAAGUAUUUUGUUCCUAAGAAAAUCUCAGCUCUAGGUAAAUGAAAUUUUGUAGUGAUCCACAUCUUUAGGGAAAUCAUCAGUAGUAGCUUUGACUCAUCACUCUUGCAAAACCCAACACCAAGUGGAGAAAGAGAGUGGUGUGAGCCUGUGGAAGUCAUUGGAAUAGACUUGCCUUUCCUGGUCUUCUGGACUCUGCAAUGCUUAAAAGAGGUGAAUGGAGGCACUUGGAGAGGCCCAAGAAAAAAAAUGUAAGAACUAGGGCUGCCUUGAAAUUCACAGGAAGGUUUAAACUGGCUCCGACCCAAGGAGAAAGAAUCAGAUUGUGGUUGGCAAUUGACUGAAAGAGAAAGGGAAGAAAUUUAAGUCAUGUAAAAUUUUUGAAUAAAGGAGUUGGACUUAAGUUCAAUGCAUAGGAAUAAAAGAAGAAGGGAGUAAAUCCUCCUACUCAACCCUCCACCUGAAAACUACAUACACACUAAGGAUUCUGGUUCCUGGCUAAAAACCUUUCUGAUUUUCCAGGCCUGACCAUGGACAGAUACAAAGUCUUUCCCAGAAAUUAUUGUGCCAAUUAGAAGCAUAUCUGUUGAAGACUUGGAGGUGAGAAAUGAGCUGACCCAAUAUCACUGGGAGAAA